rfam:Spinacia oleracea cultivar SynViroflay scaffold69583.con0002.1, whole genome shotgun sequence.
AUCCCAUGAUGAGGGCACUCCCUUUGGUACUCCUUAAAUCGGUCCCAAGCCUCGAAAAGCGAUUCAUCACGCCCUUGCUCAAAUGAUUGAAUCUUGUGCCGAAACU